UGGGAGAUUUACAAAUAAUAAAGUUUCUAUUUAGUAGAUCAGUGAUUGUGUAUCACUUUGAAAACUAUAUAUUUUCGAACGGGAUGUCAGUAUCGCCG